CCCUUAGAUGUCCGGGGCCGCACGCGCGCUACACUGAAGGAAUCAGCGUGGCUUUCUCCCUGACCCGAAAGGGUUGGGAAACCCGUUGAAUCUCCUUCGUGAUAGGGAUUGGGGCUUGAAAUUGUUCCCCAUGAACGAGGAAUUCCCAGUAAGCGCGAGUCAUAAGCUCGCGUUGAUUACGUCCCUGCCCUUUGUACACACCGCCCGUCGCUCCUACCGAUUGGAUUGGCUGGUGAAGCGUUCGGAUUGUGGGUUCGGAGCGGUUCGCCGUUCUGGGCUUGCGAGAAGUUCGUUAAACCCUCCUAUCUAGAGGAAGGAGAAGUCGUAACA
rnacentral:rRNA from 1 species